rnacentral:tRNA from 1 species
GCCUUGAUGGUGAAAUGGUAGACACGCGAGACUCAAAAUCUCGUGCUGAAGAGCGUGGAGGUUCGA